GUUUGAGCCCCCGGGGCGGUGCGUGGGCCUCUCCUGCACUCUUCUCCCGGUUUUCCCGGAUGGCACCUUUGUCGUCUCCCUCGGAACGCUGGCUUUCCCUGCCCUAGCACGGAAUGACAAAGGAAGCUUCCCCAGGCUCCUCCGUGCUGGAGCAAGGGAAUGACUUCAGAGCUGUCACGGCUGUCAUUAGCAAGGAUCGCCUGUACCUCAAACCCUGACAUGAGAAAGAUGGCACCAACAGGCAUGAGAAAUUCAAACAACCUUGAGCCAUUUUAUCCUACAAGGCAACUUUUCAAAAGAAGAUACUUGCAUGGUCUAAGUUAUUUCAGCACCUGAUCAUCACCCAAUAGUCCUUGAGCCAGGGCUUGCUGAUUUGUUACACCAGCAAACAAAAAGAUACUUGUAGACCUUUGGAAAAACAAAAACAAAAACAAAAACAAAAACAAAACAAAAACAAACAAACAAACAAACAAACAAACAAACAACAACAAAAAAAAAAACAAACAAAAAAAAAAACAGA
rnacentral:lncRNA from 1 species